AGAGAGAGAGAGAGAGAGAGAGAGAGAGACAGAGAGAGAGAGAGAGAGAGAGAGAGAGAGAGAGAGGGUUAGCCUUUGGGGUUGGUAGAUUAUAGUCAGAGGCGUCGGGGCGAUCGGAGCAGCAGGAGGAUUAGAGCUACAAAGUGAGGAUGAGGAGGAUUAAAGAGGAGGAAGAGGACAGGAGGAGAUAAAGGGGCAGCAGCAGUUCGUACCUGAGAGGAACCGACAGUUUCAGAUCCGAUGUUUGCCUGGCGACCUCUGACCCCAGCCCGUAAUGAUGACCCGGUCCAGGUAGAGGAGGCGGAGCCUAAGAAAGAGGCAGCUGAUGAACUUCCUGCCUGACUGACUCGGAUGCACCAUGUCCCCCCCCCUGCUCUUCAUCAUCAUCAUCAUCAUCAUCUCUCCGUCCUCCUCUCAGCCCAGCGGCCCCUUGGACGCCUGCAGCUUGGGGGCGGGGCCAGGACGGCAGGCCCUCCCCUGUCAGCCCCCCCCCACCAACAUGAAGGAGUUCAUGCAGAUCAGAGUCGACCCCCCUGGCAUCACCUGUGGAAACCCCCCAGAGAGGUUCUGCACUCUGGAGAACCCGUACCUGUGCAGCGACGAGUGCGACGCUUCCAGCCCUGACCUGUCUCACCCCCCUCAGCUGAUGGGAGACAGGGAGAGAGGGGGGCUCAUCACCUAUUGGCAAACCAUCACCUGGUCCAGGUAUCCUGAGCCCCUACUGGCUAACAUCACUCUGUCAUGGAACAAGAGUCUGGAGGUGGUUGAUGACAUCAUCAUUACCUUUGAAUACGGGAGACCGACCAGCAUGGUGCUGGAGAAAUCCAUGGACAAAGGUGCAACAUGGCAGCCAUAUCAGUUCUAUGCUGACGACUGCCUCGAGGCCUUCGGCAUGUCACCUAAACAAGUUUCUGACUUGGCGCCGACCAACCUAACCCGGGUCAUCUGUACUGAGAAGUACUCCCGCUGGGUUGGGGCCAAGGAAGAGAAGAACGUGGUGUUUGAGGUGCGCGCCCGAUUCGGUGUGUUCGCUGGGCCAAAGCUCAUCAACAUGGAUGCCCUUUACGUCCGGAUGGAGACGAUGAAAGGUCUCAGAGACUUCUUUACCUUUUCCAACCUCCGUCUGCGGCUCCUCCGCCCCGCUCUAGGAGGAACCUACGUCCAGAGAGAUAACCUACUGAAGUACUUCUACGCCGUUUCCAACAUUGACGUACCUGCCAGGUGCAGAUGCAACCUGCAUGCAUCGCGGUGCGUGCUGCGGGACGCCACUCUGCAGUGUGAAUGUGAGCACAACACAGGCGGACAGGACUGCCAGCGCUGCAGGGGGGGCUUCAGGUCCCGCAGCUGGAGGCCGGGAUCCUACCUGCCCCUGCCCAGAGGCGCCGCCAACACCUGUGCAGCAGCAGGAAUCGCGGUUGCAGCUUCUGAUGGACCAGGUGGAGUGACUGGCAUCACGACCUCUGACCGCAGCACCAAGCCUGACCUGAACGCUGCUGUCUGGACAUCGUCCACUCUGACUGACAGGACUUUCACUGGCAGCCCAACUCUUCCGGACAGAACCACCUCCAGCCCCUCUACCGCCACUGACAGCAUUCUGUCCAUGUUUUACUCUUCACUGACUACUUACACAACCACAGGAAGUGCUCUUACUCUACCAGGUGCAGCCAGAAGUCCGACUGCCACUGACCCACAGAGUCUCACUGCUGCAGAGACAAGUACUGCCCCUGAUAGUCCAGUUAUGACUGAUAACCCUGUAUUUGGUAGGACCAGCACUACAUGCAUGACUGACAUGAGCAGCACUACGGAUUCUGUCUUGGCCGUAGAUGUCUUCGCAGCAUCUGACAGUAGUGAUGCUGGUGCAGCAGGACCUGCAGACAUCAGUACAGCCCAGGGGAAAGUCACCAACGGUCCCAGUAGCACCAUUAGCAGCUACAGUGUAGCCAGUAACAGCGUCACAAUCUCAGCCAACACCAGGGAUUUGGAGGAGUCUAAGAGUAGCUCAGGGACACCACCCUUUUACUCCACCUUUUCUGGGACUGGUAAUACCGACUUGGUGACCAGUGUCCUUCCACCUGCUGUUGGUGUAGCGUCAUCAAACAGGGCCCAGAACCCAGCAACCAUUCCAGAAACCACUCCACCCAGUGAACAGCUGUCUUCAGGGGACGCUCUGUCAACUGGGACUACUCCACCCUCUCAGGAAGGAGACGCUCCACCUUCAGCCGGAGUUGACGCUACGGCUGUUUCUCCAGAUAUUCUAGAUAAUCCAACUGUCCCAUUAGAUGUAGCAACUGUUCCUGAAGAAGCUAAACCCAUUUUAAAAGCCCAGAGUACGCUUCCUGCCGUGGAACCUCCUGAAGAUGUUCGCCUUUAUGCACCUUCAGUUUUACCACCUUCAGACGUUCCACCAGGCGGCCUGUCAUCUAAAACUGCAACUGAUUUUCCGUCUUCUGAGUUACUUCUACCAAAGGAAUCUCCUCCUCUAGGAUCUACUUUAAAAAUACCUGCAGAAGCAGCAUUAUCCUCUAGAGAUCCGGACAGGUCGAUGGCUGUACCUUCUCCUGAUUCGGUUUCAGAUUUACCUUUUUCUGAUUUCCCUUCUCGUAAUAAACCUCCAGAAACGCCUCCUCCAGAUGUAGAGUCCUCUAGGACCCCUGGCGCUUUGACAGAUGCACCCCUCCCCUCACUAACUCCACCCACAGCUCCCCUUUCAGCUCCUGGGGCUGAUGUAGAGCCAUCGGCUCCUUCUGGGGGACAAUUGGAAUUAAAUCCAGGUUUUGAAACCUUGGAUCAAUCUAAACUCAGUGCUAAUCUAGAUGUGGACGAAUCACUACAGAAUCCAAUGCCUAGUUCAGAACAAGCAUCCGUUGGUGAUCCUGCAACCCAACAAGAAGAAAAGUCUUCUGGGGUGGAAGCAGCUCAGCCAUCCGAAGAACUGGCAUCUGGGAAAAAGGAGUCUAAAGAAGAAAGGACAGAUGAAAGAGAUAUGAAAGGAGUCGCCAUUUCCAAAGAGGAGGAGAAAGGCUUUGAGAAGAAAGCAAUCCAGAAGAUUCUGAUUCCAGGAGGACCAAAGUCCACUCAGCUGUCCAAAAUCAUUUACGUCAACUUCCAGGACUGUGAGUGUAACGGUCACUCCAACCGCUGCAGCUACAUUGACUUCAUCAAUGUGGUGACGUGUGUGAGCUGCAAGCACAACACGCGAGGACAGAGCUGCCAGUACUGCCGCCUUGGUUACUAUAGAAACGCCUCGCUGCCACUGGACGACGACAACAUCUGUGCGGACUGCGACUGCGACCCGGACGGCAGCGCGUCUCCUCACUGCUCUGACUCCGGUUUGUGUCGCUGUAAAGCUGGAGCCACCGGGCGGCGCUGUGACUCCUGUGUGUCUGGGUUCACCUGGCGAGGAGGCGGAGCCGGUUGCACAGAAAACCUCUGUGACUCGGAACGGCUGCUCUGCCAGAACGGCGGCACCUGCGUCGACUUCCUGCGCUGCACCUGUCCAGGCAACUCCACAGGUCAGUUCUGCGAGCAGAGAGUCUGCACGAAGAAGAGCGGCUGUACUAUGACCUCACAGGGCUCCUCCCCCUCGGUGACAUCACAGCUUCACCUGGUGACCUUCAUCCUAAUCAGCUACACCAUCAGCUGACCAUGCCCCGUUACAGACCACACCCACUAUGACAUCACAGGUGGAAUAAAGAUAAUUGGUCCUGAUUAAAAGCUUACAACCUUCAUUUUUUCUGCAGUAUGACAGGAAGUGACAUCACGCUAUUAUACUCAGACUGUUGCACCUGUCAGCGGUAAGGAAAAUGGGGCGUUGCUGCGAUGAUGAAGGCGGAGCUUCAGCUGCUCUGAAACACUUCCUGCUGCUGGCGACGCGCCGA